rnacentral:rRNA from 1 species
GAUGAACGCUGGCGGCGUGCCUAAUACAUGCGAGUCGAGCGAACGGACGAGAAGCUUGCUUCUCUGAUGUUAGCGGCGGACGGGUGAGUAACACGUGGAUAACCUACCUAUAAGACUGGGAUAACUUCGGGAAACCGGAGCUAAUACCGGAUAAUAUUUUGAACCGCAUGGUUCAAAAGUGAAAGACGGUCUUGCUGUCACUUAUAGAUGGAUCCGCGCUGCAUUAGCUAGUUGGUAAGGUAACGGCUUACCAAGGCAACGAUGCAUAGCCGACCUGAGAGGGUGAUCGGCCACACUGGAACUGAGACACGGUCCAGACUCCUACGGGAGGCAGCAGUAGGGAAUCUUCCGCAAUGGGCGAAAGCCUGACGGAGCAACGCCGCGUGAGUGAUGAAGGUCUUCGGAUCGUAAAACUCUGUUAUCAGGGAAGAACAUAUGUGUAAGUAACUGUGCACAUCUUGACGGUACCUAAUCAGAAAGCCACGGCUAACUACGUG